UACAGAGGGGGCGAGCGUUGUUCGGAAUUACUGGGCGUAAAGGGCGCGUAGGCGGCCUUCUAAGUCGAACGUGAAAUCCCCAGGCUCAACCUGGGAACUGCGCUCGAAACUGUAGGUCUUGAGUGUCGGAGAGGAUGGCGGAAUUCCUGGUGUAGAGGUGAAAUUCGUAGAUAUCAGGAGGAACACCGGUGGCGAAGGCGGCCAUCUGGACGACAACUGACGCUGAGAUGCGAAAGCGUGGGGAGCGAACAGG
rnacentral:rRNA from 1 species